CUGCAGGGGAUCUAGCUGUUACUGGAGGAUAAGGAGUGGAGUGAAUUCAGACUGACACAGCUGAUGGGUAUUUUAUGAUAUAAAUUCAAGAAGUUGACUAACAUCUAAUCUUUGGAUUAUUACAUUUUUGAUAUAAUAGUAAUAUGCCUGACUGCAUAGUAAUUGGUUGCACCACCUCUACCAGAAGAGGAAGAUCGAAUCCUAACGUUUCACUUCAUGUGUUUCCAAAAACACAUGAAAAAAUAAGAAUUUGGUUGAAACAAACCAAUCAAUAUAAAUAUGAUGAACUCGAACAAAUGGUACAACUGAUUUUUGACACAAACAAGACUACCCGUUACCGUAUGUGUUCAGUACAUUUUCAUCAUGAAUGCUACUAUACUCAUGGUGUUAAUAGAAAAUUAAUGGCAAGUGCAGUACCUACAAUAUUUCCAUCAAUAAUGUCAAAUUCUGGAACUAUAUUACCAAGUUCCUCACAACAUACAGAUGUAUCUGAAGUUGUACCCGAAGCUUCUACUUCAUCCUCUAUUAAUUCCUUUUUAAUUAAAACUAGACCACGUAUUGACAUCUGCCAUGCAUGUGGACACCAACGUAACAUUACAAAAUCAGACACAUCAACUAAUACGGAAAUUAUAAUUACCCAAGAUGAAUAUACUCAAUUCAAUCCUUAUUAUGGUACUUUGAGUGCCAGUGUUCAAACGGCAAAAAAUUUAGGAAAGCAUAGCAAGAGUACUUCAUCUCAUGAUUUUGUUAAAAAGAAUGAAAAAUAUACAUGGACAAUGGGAGAUUAGUCCUCUGAAACUAUGAUUCAAGACAGUACUGGAUUUGGAACAACACAAACCAGUCUAAAUAAGGCAGAUAACAUAUUUUAGUGAUAUUGAUGUAAACACUCAAUCUGGACAAAAAGAAUAGUUAGACAAGGAACAAGAUAUACUUAAUAAAUAUGUAGUUGCCAGAUUUUCAGGGUUGGAUAAAUGUAUUGAAAGUUUUUUUUAAUCUUUCUCUUUAUUAUUUUGCCACAGGACAAGCAUAACUGAAAAUAACAAUGUAAGUCUAGGUGGAACUUAAACUAUACUUAACAUAUAAUGUCUCAAAUAACAGAUUACACAUAACAUAAUAAAAAGAAGCAAAGAAACACUUUUUCAUUCAUAUAUUUAACAUAUAUUUAACAUAGAAUUUAUCAUCUCUGUAAAAUCUCUUUAUUUACUGAAAUAGAGUUCCAUGGAAUAAGCAGGGGGAAACAAACCAUCUUAAUUUCCAGUCCAUACCUCUGGGAACCUGCCAUUGAAAAUAUUUUGUUGAAAAUUAGAUUUACGGAAAAUGAGGAUCAGUUGAAUCUGUGUCCCGAUUGUCAUAUUUUGGAUGACUCCCUGCCAUUUCUCAAAGAACUGUUUUACCUGUGUGACCUUAUAACUAUUCAAAUUAAACUGUUCUAUUAUUAUCUGAGUCUAUAUCUGUUUAAUAAACUCUGAAAUGUUUGGAGCAUGUUUAGUUUUCCAUGUUCUUAAUAUCAGUUUAAGAUCUACCAGUAUUGCCGUGUUGAUCAAUUUAUUAUUGGCGAGGUUGCCUUCCGCUUUAAAUAAAAAAAUAUGUUUGGCCUGAA